rnacentral:rRNA from 1 species
UCCCAUUCCGAACAGAGAAGUUAAGCCCGCCAUCGCCGAUGGUACUGCAAUGCAAUGCGGGAGAGUAGGUAGCCGCCUUCU